AUAUCCCUCAUUGUGGUUGUCAUUUCUGAAAUCUUUGUUAUAUCUUGGAUCUACGGUUUCAUCAUUUUCUUCUUCUUCUUCUUCUUCAUCUUGUACCUAUACAUAAAAUAUUUCAAUUUAGAACACAAUAGAACUUUGUGUUUAUCUUGAAAACAAUAUAGAAAAAGUAUGUACAUUUUACCUCACUAUUGAAUUUGAUUUUGUUCAUAACUCUUCUGAGUUUCCUGUUGGUAGGCCUUCUAACAUCUGUCUUGUUUUGUCUGUGGUCUUUAUCUGAAUCAUCUUCUAUGGUAAUUGUAUCUGAACUUGU
rnacentral:lncRNA from 1 species